UCAAUGAUCCAAACGCGAGAUGGCGCUGAUAAAAAUUUUUCAAUCAUUGCCUAACUUAUCGGCGAAAUGUAAGUAUAUUUAGAAGUUUGUAAUAUAAAAAAAAUUCGACAAAUAUUUCAUAAAAUAGUAUAAAUAUUUGUUUGAAAAAAUGUCUAAAUGAAACUUGUAUGCAAAUAUAAUUGUAUGAAAUAAGAAAUUCGCAGAAUUAUUAGAAAAAUUAUAGAAAAAAAAUUUAUUAUUGAAAGAAAAGAUAAAAUAAAGAAAAAUAUAAAAAUAUAAAAAUAUAUUGUAAUAUAUAAAAAUACAAAAUAAUACAUAUAAAAUAUAUUACAAAAUAUAAAAACAUAAAAUAUACAAUAUAUAAAAUAUACAUAUAACAUAAAAAUAUAAAAAUAUAGAAAAAUUAAUUGAUACAUAAAAUAUAUAUUAUAUGUAAAAAUUUGAUCAAAUAGUAUAAAACAAUAUAAAAUAUAUUAUUGUUAAUAAGCAAAAUAAUAGAUUUAGAAUCUGUUAAAUAUCAAAAUCAUUUUUUGAAUGUAUAAAUUUUCCUGAAGACAAAAAAAUACAUUGAACAUUAAGUCUAUUUUGUACCUUGUUUUCAAGAAAUAAGUUUUCGUGCUAAGGAUCAUAAAUUAUUGGUAUUUCUAUUUAAUUACAAGUGAAAGCUUUUAUUUAUGUAAGUAUAUUUGUAAAUAUUAAAUAAGAUUAAAAUACUACUUACAUUUGUGCUUACCAUAUGUUUAAUAUUAAACAUUCAAAGAUAUUUAUAGCUAAAUUUUACACUUCUAAGUACAAUACUACCGCAUUUAAGGAACAGCAGCAUUUAUGACUUAUUUUAUUACUGUUUAAAGAAAUUUAUAUUAUGAAAUAAUAUGUAAUCUAAUUAUAUUCAAUUUAUCACAUAUACAAAAAUUUAAUUUUAUAAAUUUUAAAAUUGCAAUUAUAUUAGAUUAAAAAAAAAUUAAAA